rnacentral:rRNA from 1 species
UAUAUUCAGACUAGCCAUGCACGUCUAGUACAAACUAAAUGAUGGUGAAACUGCAAAUGGCUCAUUACAACGGUUAUGAUGUACCCGGGAGUUCCGAUGGAUAUUUCCAGUAACACUAGAACUAAUACAUGUCCCUGCGUUUAUUAGUUUCGCACAGUCCGUCGCUGAGUCAUGGUAAACAGUUGAUCGACUCGACGUCCCGGAACAGUUUCCGCCCCAUCAGCUUCGAUGGUUGGGUAUUGGCCUACCAUUGCAACAACGGGUAACGAGGAAUUAGGGUUUGAUUUCGGAGAGGGAGCCUGAGAAACGGCUACCACAUCUACGGAUGGCAGCAGGCGCGCAAAUUACCCAAUGCAGACACUGUGAGGUAGUGACGAGAAAUAAUAAAGCGGGACUUCUGUUUCGCUAUUAUAAUGAGGAAUAACCAAAGGUCAUUCCGAUUAGCAACUGAUGGGAAAGUCUGGUGCCAGCAGCCGCGGUAAUACCAGCGUCAGUAGCAU